ACAGACCCUAAGAGUACUGCUUCGAAGAGGUUAAGUUUGCAACAAAGGGCAGGUAGUCUGAACAUCAAAAGUAUUUUUGUGAAUUAAAGAAAACCAGAUACCCCAAGCAUCCGGGUCUUUUCCAGUGAGCCAGCACUUCACAUCAGGUGGCCUCUGAGGGGGAGCCAGUAGAUGCCAGGAGGCUGGGACCCUACACUAUGCCAUGAAAGGCCACCUAUGGGGUUGGACUAUGAUAGGAGCAAGAAAUAAGCCUUUAUGAGGGAUACAGAUCAUUGCACUAUAGGCAAAUGAAGAUGCUUCUCUUCAAGGUUGUGAGAGGGGAAAAAGGAUUUUAUAUUUUACUACUGUUCCUAUUUUAUCAAUGGAGAAACCCAGGAGUUGAGCUCAUUUAAUUGCUGGAGAUCCACUGACGGAAUGGAGAGAGCCAAGGUCAGAGGAACCAGUAGAUUGAAAACUCAUGUGUUUGCUGCACUCAAAAUGUGGGCUGAUGUAGAAAGGAAUAAAAUAAUGGCAUUUGCAGCAACACGGAUGGACCUAGAGAUUAUCAUACUAAGUGAAAUAAGUCAGGUCCAUAAACAGGUCCCUAACAAAUAUAGAAGGAGAGAAGGAUGGAGGGAGGGAUAUUGGAGAGGAAGAAAUGAAGGAAAGAA
ensembl:lncRNA